CGGUGCUGUCUCAUUCCAUCUGCCAGAGGCUGAGAGAUGGCUGGAUAUGAACUUCAAAAUCAGAUGCUGUUCAUGCAACUGAAAUCUGAAGCUGUUUCUUGGGGUCCCUGUUCUAGAACUGAAGAAGUUUCAAGAAUGAAUCUGAUAUGGAUCCUGCCCUUAAGGACUUCACAGCAGAGAUGGGAGGGCACAAAGUGAUGGUGGAACUGAACGGGCCUCACUCUCUUGCAGUUGGAAAUUCCUCUCUACAGCAUUCAAGAAAGUACUUUGCCAUAAAGUCUUCACACAUUUUGUGAUUAACACAACUGAAAGCCAAAGUCAGCAAAACCUAAAGUCCUUCUCCUGAAAUCCAACAUGAAGGACAAAACAAAUCCCAGUUUCCACUCUGGAUUUAGCUCAACACCUUCAUUUCAUGGUCAAGGGCAUUGGGGCACUGAAAGUUAGGAGGUGAAGCUGAGAGUG